rnacentral:rRNA from 1 species
AUUGAACGCUGGCGGCAUGCCUUACACAUGCAAGUCGAACGGUAACAGGUCUUCGGACGCUGACGAGUGGCGAACGGGUGAGUAAUACAUCGGAACGUGCCCGAUCGUGGGGGAUAACGGAGCGAAAGCUUUGCUAAUACCGCAUACGAUCUACGGAUGAAAGCAGGGGACCGCAAGGCCUUGCGCGGACGGAGCGGCCGAUGGCAGAUUAGGUAGUUGGUGGGAUAAAAGCUUACCAAGCCGACGAUCUGUAGCUGGUCUGAGAGGACGACCAGCCACACUGGGACUGAGACACGGCCCAGACUCCUACGGGAGGCAGCAGUGGGGAAUUUUGGACAAUGGGCGCAAGCCUGAUCCAGCCAUGCCGCGUGCAGGAUGAAGGCCUUCGGUUGUAAACUGCUUUUGUACGGAACGAAAAGACUCUGGUUAAUACCUGGGGUCCAUGACGGUACCGUAAGAAUAAGCACCGGCUAACUACGUGCCAGCAGCCGCCGUAAAAC